ensembl:lncRNA
GGCACAUGGCCUUGCUCUGCUGUGCUCACAUCUCAUCCAAAGUGUUGAUUCAUCUGGAUGUGGCAUUUGGGAAGGAUCAUCGACAAAAGGGACCAUGUUCAAAACCUUAUUUCCCUACCUGUACUAUGAAGAUGGCAACCUUACUUAAUAUAAUCUCUAGAAAGAACAAAUGAUAUGACAUUUGUCAAGGUGCCUUAUAAACUGAAACGGAAUGUCUACAUCUUUGUUAUCAUUAUGAUGGGCCAAUGUAAGGUUGAAUUCAGUCUGAUGAACAACAUUGAAAUAAAUUCAAGUGUGCUUGAAUGGCUUACCACAUUGUAUUAUUGGCUAUCAAGCCCAUGUGUGGGGUAUAGCCAUAGGCGUGGGACUAUACAGAGUCAUAAGAGAAGACAGAUUGCAAUGAUGCCUUUCAGUGCUUUGUGCUAGGUGUGGAUUUUAUCCAAACAAAAAAGGGAAGACAUUCUUCCUAGCUACAAAUGAAAACUUGAAGUGAUUUUUCCCAGUUGACAGUGAACCACUAACACCUCUGCUGACCUAAGAAAGCUGCUCCUUGGAUUAUGGAAGGUCGUCACAGAAAUAUUGUGUUCACUUAGCCAAGGGAGCUGCAUCAGCAUUUCAGAAGAUUGCUGAACUCAACUGUUUAGAGAGCCCUACAUCUUCUCCCUGACAGGAAACCACGGCGGUGAUGAGGACGAGAGAGAACAAGCCUAUUCUGGCAGGGGCAUGGUGAUUUAAACUCAGCCUCUACUCACUUUGAUAACGGGCAUCAAAGCAGGGGAAAUCCUGCUCCCACUGGCAGAAGAAACAUAUAUGAAGCCACAAUGUACCAGUUCAUCUCAAUUAUGGUUUGAAGGCCUUUUUGAGAGGAGAGACAAAUCUUUUGUUUCUAUCAUCCUCCAGCAUUAUCUUGGCACUAGUCGUUGAUCCAAAUAAGAAACUUCUUUCCUUAAGUUUCCUCACAAACAACAUCAUCCUUUUUUUUUUUUUUUGAGGAAGAUUAGCCCUGAGCUAACAUCUGCUGCCAAUCCUCCUCUUUUUGCUGAGGAAGACUGGCCCUGAGCUAACAUCCGUGCCCAUCUUCCUCCACUUUAUAUGUGGUACACCUACCACAGCAUGGCUUGCCAAGCGGUGCCAUGUCUGCAACCAGGAUCUGAACCGGUGAAACCCGGGCUGCUGAAGCAGAACGUGUGAACUUAACCACUGUGUCACUGGGCUGCUCCAACAUCAUUCUAUUUUUUAACAGGAUGUCUAAAGGCUCUGAAAAUCAGAUCCAGAGAGAUCAUUUAAUCUCUAUUUAAUCAAAAUAAUCUCAAUAGUCAAUCUAGUCUGACCUGAAACUUUGUAAUUUUAGUCCAUUCUUGUUUAAAUGAUCAACUUACAAAAACAAAUUAACCAGGAGAUCCUCUUCAAUUUGCAAAAAAUCUUUAAGGAGCAAUCAAAUGCAGCCCACAGAGGCUUUCCAGCCACCAUGUCUCUCUAACUAGAGUAACUAGUUAAGUUUCCAGUUUCCUAGAAACAGCUCAUAGUCUUUCUACAAUCUUAGCUUCUCAUCUGGAAGUGACUUGGUUUGGAUAAUAAAUUAUAUGGUCAUCAUAUUUAUAAGGUUUAGGUCCUUGGCAGUUUGCAUAUUAGUAGUUUACCCCUCUAGUGACCCUCAGGUGGUCCAUAAGCCAAGUCUACCUCUCAUGUCAGGCUCUAAUGGUGCACUGAGGAAAACAGGCACAUGGUGGGACAAUGGGCAGACCAGACAUAUUGGAACAUGCAAGCGUCUAGAUGCAGGAUUCUACAAAAAGGGGUGUCAGAGUGACAAAGAGUCUGCCAUGGAGCAUGUGAGGUCAGAGGAAGGAAGUGCAUGUGAUUCAAACAUAAAUAUAUUGAAUCAUGAUAGACAGAAGUUCUCUGGACAGAGAACAGUUAUGUGCAGACAGAAAACAGGUGGACAUGUACAGCUCACCAUGAGACAAACUGCAGUGGCAACUCAAGAGGGGAGCAUGUGAAUUUCCUGACUGUUCUUUGAGAAGAAUUGCACUGUUUGAAAAUCUUUUCUGCCUUUAGUCUAUGGAUCCUGAAAGCAGUAGAGGCAGUGGUGAUUGGGGUGAUUUGGAACUUUGUAUAUUAUGUCUUUGUUAUUGAUUUCAAAUUUUUUUUUCUGGGUUUUUUUUUUACUCCCCAGAUCCCCCUAGUAGAUAGUCGUAUAUUUUAGUUGUGGGUCCUUCUAGUUGUGGCAUGUGGGACGCUGCCUCACUGUGGCCUGAUGAGCAGUGCCAUGUCUGUGCCCAGGAUGCAAACCGGUGAAACCCUGGGCCACCAUAGCGGAGUGCGUGAACUUAAUCACUCGGCCACGGGGCUGGCCCCCCAAUUUUUUGCUAUUGGUCUAUAUGAUAUUAAUUAUUUG